UUGGUUUUGUAGUUAAUUUCACCUUCUGGGUUUAUGCUGGGUUUUAGUACAAUUUUAAAGGGAGGUAUAAUCUGGUGAGGUUUCUCAAGACCAUGCAGAAGGCAGGGCUCUAUGCUCACCUUCGCAUUGGCCCUUAUGUUUGUGUUGAGUGAAACUUUGGGUAAGUUUUUUCUCUAGAUCUAUAAUUUUGGUUUUUUUUCUUUCUUAUUUUUUAGGAUUUUCCACUCUCAUUCUAUUUUCCUCUCCUAAUUUUAGAAAAAAAGUAUUUAAUUUUUCUGAUUGUGUGGUUUGUAGGGGUUUUCCUAUUUGGCAGAGGCAAGUUUUGAUUUUUACUUUUCUUUUUUCUCACAGGGGGCUCUCGGAGAAGCAUGUAAUGGAGACACCACUUCUGUCAUUAUCUUUGGAAGUAUUUGAUGGCCAACUGGAUGAUCCUAUUAGCAUGUCCAUCCGAGGAGGUUUGUAUUCAUCUUUCCACUUUUUUUGGAAAAAUGUUUAGAAAUCAUAAAGAUGCUUCUGAAGAUAGUUUCAGGAGACCCUGGUUUUUCGUUCUUUGGGCCUUUUUUUGCAGCCUCCGAAGCCGUCUCUGGUCACGCCUUAUGAUUGCAGUGUCUCCAUCUGGUAAAUUUGUCCAUCCUUCUGGAGUGGAGCACUAUGUUUCUGACAGCAUAAAUGCUCUGAGAAACUGCUAUGGAGACAAACAGUUGUUUACUCCAUUGUAGGUAUGUUUUUCUUUAGUAUUUUAGAGGGAUUCUUAACUCUUCCCCAUUGUAAUCUUAACCUUUUUAUCUAUCUCUCUCAAAAGACGAUGAGAGUAACAACUCUUGAAAAGCAAAUUCUCAGAUGUAUCUAAAGCUUAUAGAUACAUUGGAUAAAAACCGAAUCUUAAAUUGGGGCAGUGAGUUCUGCAACAUCCUGGUGCUGCAUAUAUUGUCACACUUUUAAAAGUUGUAUAUCUCAGAUAUAUUGGGAAUUUAAUUAGUUUUAUGUCAUUUUCGUAGGGCAAUUUAGUAGAGAUUUAGCACAUAAAAGAUGCGUGAAUCAAUACAAUUAACCUAAUAGUGAUUUGGUUCAACGUACAGCCUACUGCUAGGGCACUCAAGUCAUUUUCUUAAUUUAUGCGCAUAUAUAUUAUAUGUAACCAACACAUGUUUUCAAAGGAUGUUAGUGUUCAAGCUCUGCUGAUAUUUUAUUCUGUUCAUUUUGAU